AGAGAGAGAGCGUGGUGUUAUCUGAGCUUGGGGGGUAUUUCUUAGCGGCGGAUUCUGCCAUGAAUUUUUUGACGUGCAAUAACUUUGGUGUGAGAGGUGAUGACAUGUUGAAAACUAUAUCGUUGUACUCAGAAUAACACAAAGAAAUAUGCUUUUAUGAGGAAAAGAAUAUUUUUAGCAUUUUUGACAGGUGUGAUUUUUCCCCACUGUAACAGACGGAAAGUAAAUCAAUCCCCUGUACUUUAAGGGGUAAGAAAGAUAAUGACCAAUAUUAGCAUGAAUAUAACACUAAGACAACGUAUACUCAAGCGUUAUGUAUGGUCCACAUUAACGUAUGGCUCUGAGACAUGGACGAUAAAGAAGAACAUGAUCAAAAGGUUAGAAGCAGUAGAAAUGUGGUUCAUGCAAAGAAUGCUGAGAAUCCCUUGGAGUGCACGGAUCACUAAUGAAGGAUUGAGAAGAGUAGUAAUGGAAAAAACACCGGUGAAGAGUAUCAGGAGGAGACACCUCAAUUUUGUGGGCCAUGUACUGAGAGGACAUGGACUGUGGGAGAGAAUGCUUGUUGGGGAGAGUAUAAGGAACCAGCGAAAGGAAGACAGAGGGUCAAGUUUAUGGACACAUUGGUGAAACACGUCGGUGAGGGCUGCACAACUGUGGAUCGGGUUAGAGUGGCUCAAAACAGAGGAGGAUGGUGUUCCAUGGUCGCCGACGUCACGUGACAGGCACCUCGGUAAAGGAAAGUCAAGCCAAUAGUCCCUGAAUGCUGCCAAGGAGAGACACUGCACCACCAAGCAAGCCAAGACAAGCCACAAUGCAACACAAGCCUUCUACAACAUCUACAGCCAUCAGCAACACCCAGAGUACAAGACAACACCUGGAGUCAUGAAGAACAGUUAGGAUGGAUAAGCAGUUUGGAAUGUUUUUUUUUUAAAGGACAUUU